rnacentral:rRNA from 1 species
UACGUAGGGUGCAAGCGUUGUCCGGAAUUAUUGGGCGUAAAGAGCUCGUAGGCGGUUUGUCGCGUCGGCUGUGAAAAACUCGGGGCUCAACCCCGAGCCUGCAGUCGAUACGGGCAGACUAGAGUGCUGUAGGGGAGACUGGAAUUCCUGGUGUAGCGGUGAAAUGCGCAGAUAUCAGGAGGAACACCGGUGGCGAAGGCGGGUCUCUGGGCCGAUACUG